rnacentral:tRNA from 1 species
GGGGAGAUACCCGAGUGGCCAAAGGGGGCGGGCUGUAAACCCGCUGGAAUUUCCUUCGGAGGUUCGAAUCCUCCUCUCCCCA